rnacentral:rRNA from 1 species
CCAGCACCCCGAGUGGUCGGGACGAUUAUUGGGCCUAAAGCAUCCGUAGCCGGUUUUACAAGUCCUCCGUUAAAUCCAACUGCUUAACAGAUGGGCCGCGGAGGAUACUAUAAGACUAGGAGGCAGGAGAGGCAAGCGGUACUCAGUGGGUAGGGGUAAAGUCCGUUGAUCCAUUGAAGACCACCAGUGGCGAAGGCGGCUUGCCAGAAUGCGCUCGACGGUGAGGGACGAAAGCUGGGGGAGCAAACCGGAUUAGAUACCCGGGUAGUCCCAGCUGUAAACGAUGCAGACUCGGUGAUGGACUAGCUUCAUGCUAGUCCAGUGCCGCAGGGAAGCCGUUAAGUCUGCCGCCUGGGUAGUACGGUCGCAAGACUG